rnacentral:lncRNA from 1 species
ACGGAUAGUUUCUAGAGAGAGAAACUCUGGGGAAAGGAAACCCUGGAGAGAGGAAUCUUCUCGGAGGUGGUCUAACGGUCAUCUUCCACCGGCGAAGUGCCUGGUGAGGUCGCCGCUGGUCAAGGAUACGAGGCUCACCUGCAACGCGUCGUGCCGCCUGGUUCCUGGAGGGGCACAACGGCAGGGAUCCCGUGGGCUUUCUGACGAAUCGGGAGCUCUCGCCUUCAUCU